rnacentral:rRNA from 1 species
GGAAUAUUGGACAAUGGGCGAAAGCCUGAUCCAGCCAUGCCGCGUGUGUGAAGAAGGUCUUCGGAUUGUAAAGCACUUUAAGUUGGGAGGAAGGGCAGUAAGCGAAUACCUUGCUGUUUUGACGUUACCAACAGAAUAAGCACCGGCUAACUCUGUGCCAGCAGCCGCGGUAAUACAGAGGGUGCGAGCGUUAAUCGGAAUUACUGGGCGUAAAGCUAGCGUAGGUGGUUCGUUCAGUUGGAUGUGAAAGCCCAGGGCUCAACCUGGGAACUGCAUCAAAAACUGGCGAGCUAGAGUAGGGCAGAGUGUGGUGGAAUUUCCUGUGUAGCGGUGAAAUGCGUAGAUAUAGGAAGGAACACCAGUGGAGAAGGCGACCACCUGGGCUCAUACUGACACUGAGGUGCGAAAGCGUGGGGAGC